rnacentral:tRNA from 1 species
GUCUUCGUGGUGUAAUGGUCAGCACACUCGGCGCGUAUUCAAGAAGUUCGAGGUUCGAGUCCCGGUGAGGGCA